AGAACGAACGCUGGCGGCAGGCCUAACACAUGCAAGUCGAGCGCUGUAGCAAUACAGAGCGGCGCACGGGAGAGUAAUACGUGGGAACCUACCCUUUGGUUCGGAAUAACGUCGGGAAACUGACGCUAAUACCGAAUAAGCCCUUCGGGGGAAAGAUUUAUUGCCGAAGGAUGGGCCCAUGUUGGAUUAGCUAGUUGGUGAGGUAACGGCUCACCAAGGCUACGAUCCAUAGCUGGUCUGAGAGGAUGAUCAGCCUCACUGGGACUGAGACACGGCCCAGACUCCUACGGGAGGCAGCAGUGGGGAAUAUUGGACAAUGGGGGCAACCCUGAUCCAGCCAUGCCGCGUGAGUGAUGAAGGCCUUCGGGUUGUAAAGCUCUUUUGGCGGGACGAUGAUGACGGUACCGCAGAAUAAGCCCCGGCUAACUUCGCGCCAGCAGCCGC
rnacentral:rRNA from 1 species